UACGUAGGCAGCAAGCGUUGUUCGGAGUUACUGGGCGUAAAGGGUGUGUAGGCGGUUGGAUAAGUGUGGUGUGAAAUCUCCCGGCUUAACUGGGAGGGUGCGCUACAAACUGUCUGGCUAGAGUGCGGGAUGGGAAAGUGGAAUUCCUGGUGUAGCGGUGAAAUGCGUAGAUAUCAGGAGGAACACCGGUGGUGUAGACGGCUUUCUGGACCGUAACUGACGCUGAAACACGAAAGCGUGGGUAGCAAACAGG
rnacentral:rRNA from 2 species